GAAAUGCGAUAAGUAGUGUGAAUUGCAGAAUUCAGUGAAUCAUCGAAUCUUUGAACGCACAUUGCGCCCCUUGGUAUUCCAUGGGGCAUGCCUGUUCGAGCGUCAUUUGUACCCUCAAGCUCUGCUUGGUGUUGGGUGUUUGUCCCGUCUCCGCGCGUGGACUCGCCCCAAAGUGAUUGGCAGCCGGCGUACUGGUCCCGGAGCGCAGCACAUGACGCGCAAACGAGUGCCUUGGUACGGCGGCGUCCAUAAGCCCCUCUCUCACGCUCUUGACCUCGGAUCAGGUAGGGAUACCCGCUGAACUUAAGC
rnacentral:misc_RNA from 1 species